ACUUGUGGCCAAACCUCUUUGUCAAAGCCUGAUCUCUCUUCAGAUCUCAGAAGUUAAGCAAGGCUGGGUCUGGUUAGUACUUGAAUGGGAGACCGCUAGGAAUAUCAGGUGCGACAGUG
rnacentral:rRNA from 1 species